GGCCCACAAAGCCUUUGUAGAAAAAGAUCUGUGCCCACUCUGGAUCAUCACUCGACAGUGAUGGUUUCAUUUCUCAUUCCAUUCACCAGACCAGAAAUUCAUAUUUAUUUACUUCAUUUGUCAUUGCUUGUGACAAGUCUUUUUCCUCUUUUACAGAUAAGCCAGCUAAGACAUGUUUUAAAGUAGAAGAUUAUAAGACCUCCCCCAGGGUCCUGCAGUCAGUCAGUUAUACCCUGCCCUUCAACAUCAAGCUUUGAACCUCUACUCUAGAAAUACCUUUUAUUAUAUUCAAACUUGAAGCACGUGGACAUAGCAUGCUUUGGUGCCUUCGUCCUUGCCCCCCUCCUUCCUACACAGUUCUUUGCAAUGAGAAUAUGGGAAAUAAGGACUUAAUGUGAGAUAAGGCAGAAAGGUGAUGCCACACUCAAUCAGAAACUAUGCUACUGCUGAAGAGGUAUAUUGAGCCCUGCCUGGUUAACCUCCAGUGAGGUUAUUAGAGAAUUGGGAGAGGCUCAAAUCAGCAUCCUGCACCUAGUUAUCAAACCAUUGUGAAGUCUUGAUUCCUGGAUGGCCAGAAAACUUGUCAUUGGUCAAGAGCAACAUUAAGAUCUGCCUGUUACUCAUACUGAUGCUUCCUGCCCAGCAAGUUCAUCAGAGGGCGAGGAUGAAUUACGGUUGCCAUGAAUGUCCUUGUGAGGCAGUUGGGAAGCCUUGGCUGGAUUGUGAAGGAUAUUUGAAAAGUAUUUUAGAGUCCACCAGAUCAUCCAUGUGAGUGACCAUGCAGCAAAAGAAGGAGGGUCCUCUCAGUGAUUAAGGUAACAUAGUGAUUAAGGUAAGUAGGGAAAGAGAGGCUUACUUUGCCCUGAUUCUUGUCAGGGAGGCUCUUAGAGAUGCCAUUUCCAGAGCAUAAGUGACAGGCCAGCAUUUUCAAAGCUUGCAACUUAUUCUAUAAUAUAUCCUUCUUAAAACAAUUCAUGUAGAUUAUAUGCUCACCCAGUCUGGGAUCACUCCUGCAGAAGAUCAGAAGAACUGAAAUAUAGGUGACAUAAGCUCCUGCUUUUGUAAAUGUUUUGUUGAAACACAGUUGUGUUCAUCCAUUAUUGUCGAUGGCAGCUUUCAUGCUACAGCAGAGUUGAGUAGUUGGGAGAGAAACCAAAUGGACCAUAGAGUUUGAAAUAUUACUGUCUGGCCCUUCACAGAAAGUUUGCCAAUUCCUGGCAUAGGUUAAAUAAAUGUACUAUAUCCACAAAUCCUCCUCUCCCCAUUUUCCUUUCAAUGGGACUUGCAUUUACAGUUGAUCCUAGAAUGUAUGGAAUCUCAUAGUAAUCAGCUUGCUUCUGAAUUUCUUCCCACUCAAAUUAAGCUCACUCAGAAAGCACAUUCACAAAUUGGGCUACAUAUACAGAAGGAGCUAUGUUUUAUAUGCCUCACUGUAGUCAACUCAUUUAUCCUAUAUGUAUGGUUCCCCCAUUUUUUCCUUCUUUUCAGGGGUAACUUUUAAACUUGAGCCAUUCAUGAGUAUCCAAAAA
ensembl:lncRNA FTX FTX transcript, XIST regulator